UACGGGGGGGGCAAGCGUUGUUCGGAAUUACUGGGCGUAAAGAGCUCGUAGGCGGUCUGUCGCGUCGGCUGUGAAAACCCGAGGCUCAACCUCGGGCCUGCAGUCGAUACGGGCAAACUAGAGUACUGCAGGGGAGACUGGAAUUCCUGGUGUAGCGGUGAAAUGCGCAGAUAUCAGGAGGAACACCGGUGGCGAAGGCGGGUCUCUGGGCAGUAACUGACGCUGAGGAGCGAAAGCGUGGGGAGCGAACAGG
rnacentral:rRNA from 1 species